rnacentral:rRNA from 1 species
UACGUAGGGUGCAAGCGUUGUCCGGAAUUAUUGGGCGUAAAGAGCUCGUAGGCGGUCUGUCACGUCGGCUGUGAAAACCCGAGGCUCAACCUCGGGCCUGCAGUCGAUACGGGCAAACUAGAGUACUGCAGGGGAGACUGGAAUUCCUGGUGUAGCGGUGAAAUGCGCAGAUAUCAGGAGGAACACCGGUGGCGAAGGCGGAUCUCUGGGCCAUAACUGACGCUGAGGAGCGAAAGCAUGGGGAGCGAACAGG